rnacentral:rRNA from 1 species
CCUGCGGAAGGAUCAUUGUCGAAAUCGUACGAAAGAAUGAACCGUGAACCGUAUUUGCGUAAAUAGUAUCGAGCACGCUUGCAACUCACACUCGCGCGUCUCGAGUAGUCUUCGUGGCGGCCCUUUUCGAAAGGGCGUCUGCCGCGUCGACGACUUAACAAUCUCAGCACGGAUCGUGCCAAGGUGCAGCUGUAUAAGCCGGACUCGCCGUUCCGCGCCCCCGGUCCCCAUUUGACCCGGUGAGGUGCGGCGAGAUCCUCGCUCUAUGAGUUUAAUGACUCUCGGCAACGGAUAUCUCGGCUCUUGCAUCGAUGAAGAACGUAGCGAAAUGCGAUACUUGGUGUGAAUUGCAGAAUCCCGCGAACCAUCAAUUCUUUGAACGCAAGUUGCGCCCGAAGCCAUUCGGCCGAGGGCACGCCUGCCUGGGCGUCGUUAAUCCCCUUGCCCCUGGGCAGCCGCACGUGCAUUGUUGCGGAUCUGAACGGGCGCAGAAGAUGGCCUCCCGCCGGGUCGGCGUGCGCGUCACGUAGAGGGGCGGUUGGUCGAAAAUCGAGCAUUGCUUCGUCGUGCACCACGGCGUUCGGUGGAUCGAACGUGAUUGGCUGUGCCGUGGUCGUGCCGUUCCGUGUGCUCCUGGCUACGAUGAUUCCCGAGUGCGAUCCCAGGUCAGGCGGGGCUACCCGCUGAGUUUAAGCAUAUCAAUAAGCGGAGGAGAAGAAACUAACGAGGAUUCCCUAAGUAGCGGCGAGCGAACCGGGAGGAGCCCAGCUUGAGAAUCGUUCGCCUUCGGCGGCCGAAUUGUAGUCUGGAGAAGCGUCCUCAGUGACGGACCGGGCCCAAGUUCACUGGAAGGUGGCGCCGGAGAGGGUGAGAGCCCCGUCGUGCCUGGACCUUGUCGCA